GUUACUUUCAGAGAAAUUGGCAAGUGGGAUUUCAAGAUCUUUUUUGUAAACUUAUUAUCCUUGAAGGGUUGUGUUUAAUUUAAUCUGGGGGAUGACUGCAUGGUGACAUGAUAUGCACAUCAUAUAUAUAUAUAUUUAUAUUUUCACUACCAUGAAAAACUCAUUUUAUCUUCAUUUGAAAGCCACCAGAGCCAUUGUCUUUCUGCAUUUUCUUCUCUCUUCAAUUCCAGCCUUUUGUUUUACUGCUCAUCUGCCUCAGCCUCUCUCUCCUCCUCUUCGGGGCAUGUUAUUUGAGGAGAAAACCAGGCUGGGUUCAGAUCCACCAAGCUGCCACAACAAGUGCAAUUAUUGCCACCCAUGCGUGGCGGUUCAAGUGCCCACCAUUUCCAGCCACGAGCGGCGGGUCGAACCAGGCAUGACCCGAACCAUCCCCAUGAUGUUCUUUGACCCAUCUCAUCCAGUUUGGCGCGAGGAAGGAAAUGAUUGCCUGAUGUGGAUGGAGGACGUCACUUUCCGCCCUACUUUCCUACAAACCAAACACACCCUUAGUCCUUAGUGUGUUGUGUUGGUCCCUGAUCUGCAAAUUAGGUAGCGGUUUUUACACCUUCGAAUUUUACAUUUGCAGUCAUCUUCUUAAUUUUGUGUCAAAUGUGAAAAUGUUCUUACGAAGCUUCUAUUCCAGUUAGUUUGUA